rnacentral:rRNA from 1 species
GAUAAACGCUGGCGGCAUGCCUAAUACAUGCAAGUCGAACGGAGAAUUAGAAGCUUGCUUCUAAGGAUCAGUGGCGAACGGGUGAGUAACACGUAGUUAACCUACCCAUUGGACUGGGACAACUUUUGGAAACGAAAGCUAAUACCGGAUAGGAAGUAAUUUUAAAGGAGCGUGUGCUCCACCAAUGGAAGGGACUGCGUCUGAUUAGCUAGUUGGUAGGGUAAGAGCCUACCAAGGCGACGAUCGGUAGCCGGACUGAGAGGUUGAACGGCCACACUGGGACUGAGACACGGCCCAGACUCCUACGGGAGGCAGCAGUAGGGAAUCUUGCACAAUGGGCGAAAGCCUGAUGCAGCAAUGCCGCGUGAGUGAAGAAGUUUUUCGGAAUGUAAAACUCUGUUAUAUGGGAAGAACAGCUAGAGAAGGAAAUGGCUUUAGUGUGACGGUACCAUAUCAGCAAGGGACGGCUAACUACGUGCCAGCAGCCGCGGUAAUACGUAGGUCCCGAGCGUUAUCCGGAAUUAUUGGGCGUAAAGGGCGCGCAGGUGGUUAUGUAAGUCUGGUGUGAAAUUUUUGGGCUCAACCCAAAAAGGUCAUUGGAAACUGCAUGACUUGAGAGCAGGAGAGGUAAGUGGAAUUCCUAGUGUAGCGGUGAAAUGCGUAGAGAUUAGGAGGAACACCAGUGGCGAAGGCGGCUUACUGGACUGCAUCUGACACUGAGGCGCGAAAGCGUGGGUAGCAAACAGGAUUAGAUACCCUGGUAGUCCACGCCGUAAACGAUGAGUGCUAAGUGUUGCGGGUCAAACCGCAGUGCUGAAGUUAACGCGAUAAGCACUCCGCCUGGGGAGUACGACCGCAAGGUUGAAACUCAAAGGAAUUGACGGGGACCCGCACAAGCGGUGGAGCAUGUGGUUUAAUUCGAAGCAACGCGAAGAACCUUACCAGGGUUUGACAUACCAGUGACAGCUUUAGAGAUAGAGAAUUCCUUCGGGACACUGGAUACAGGUGGUGCAUGGUUGUCGUCAGCUCGUGUCGUGAGAUGUUGGGUUAAGUCCCGCAACGAGCGCAACCCUUAUCGCUAGUUACUAACAUUAAGUUGAGGACUUUAGCGAGACUGCCAGUGAUAAACUGGAGGAAGGCGGGGAUGAGGUCAAAUCAUCAUGCCCCUUAUACCCUGGGCUACACACGUGCUACAAUGGUCGGUACAAAGAGAAGCGAAACGGUGACGUCAAGCAAACCUCAUAAAGCCGAUCUCAGUUCGGAUUGUAGUCUGCAACUCGACUACAUGAAGAUGGAAUCGCUAGUAAUCGCGGAUCAGAAUGCCGCGGUGAAUACGUUCCCGGGUC